rnacentral:tRNA from 1 species
CAGGCGCUGGUGAAUGUAUUCCCGGCCGUAGUCGCCGGCGGUGAGGCUGUCGAAGUGCUGGGCCUGGCUCCGCUUCAGGCGCUUGA